CUCAAAAACACAAAAUAAAUAGCAAAAACAGAAGAACCAAACUUAAUCCAUUCCAGGAGUCAGUUUUGAAAUGUUCAAAACCAAGGCACAGCUUCUGAUUGGUGCAGGCGCCCUGGAAACAAUAGCCAACAGCUGCAUCAGAUGAUCAGCUUCUGGAAAAAGUUCAAAAACCGGAACACUUACUUCCAGGUUUUCAGCAUUUGGGAACCAAGGCGUUUGAGUACUAAGGUACCACUGUACAAAAUCAUUGUAAACAGGUUAAAACGUUAGCAGGAUUUUAAAUACACUUGUAAUGUAACAGAAUGUAUAGACCGUGGAUGUCCAACAGGUCGAUUGUGGUUCGAGGACCCGACCCCCGCGAUGUGAAAUAAAUACACAAGGACACGUGAUAUAAGGUUAAUGGGCAAGAAAAGGCCACAACUUUAUUGAUUACAGCAGUGAAAAGGUAUUGGCUUAGGCAUUGGAUGUCUAAAACAAGGGGGUUUAUUCACCAGUAGGUGGAGCCUGUUGAUGCUAAUCUAACUAUAGGCUCUCCCCUGAUGUCACCGGGGGUCGUGCCAUGGCCUCCCGCCAAGCAGGCAUCGGACAGAGUACACAACCGCCAGAUUCCUUUAACGGAAUACCCAAAAAUUGAAGGCAUAGGCGAUGGCCACACCCAGCCCUUCGACACACCACAACACAUUAUUCCAAUGCCUAACCUACCCACCAAUACCACAAAAAGUUGUGACGAUUGCUACGAGGUAGGCCAAAUGCCAAAUGGAAAAAUUCCUACCAGGCCCCCUAGACAACCAGGGCGACCAACCUAAGGUCCAUAGCAAGGCCAAAGAACAAAGACCCUGAGCUAAAAGGGAGUGGAGGGUGGGUGACUCACGACGAGAGGACGGAGAAGAAUGAGGCCGAGGAGAGGCUGGCACCGCCGCAAAAGGCUGCUGAACACGCCCCCUCGAAGGCACCUGGUUGGAUGCCUGCCGAGGGGGCGUGGGCACCAGCGAGGUGAGAGGAGGAGGCAGGGGGCUAAUGCCCCCUGCUAGGGGCGGUGCUCGGGCUCCCGCCCACAACCACUCCCCUCUCUUCCAGGGAGGAGAGUCUUUGUGAUCUACUUGUAGAUCCCCGGUAGGUUUUGGUAGAUCAUGGUCACUCGCUGGGUCCCUUUCCUUAGUGUAGGUAAAAUAGAAUCUGGACCUGUCCUGUCACUCCGCCCUUUAUUGUUGCACGAUCUGCAGAAUGGAAGACGGAAUUUACUCAGUGAGACUGUUUGUUUCCCUAGAGAUGUUUUGAUGAAUGGCCCUUUCUUCCUCAAGUUUAUGCUUGAAUUCCUCCUCCCUAAGAAAAGCUCAACAACUUUGACCUGAACCCAAAAAAACAGGGCUUUCCUUCCUAAAAAAGGGCGGUAGAGCACUGCCAGUUUUUAAUUCUGUGAGUAGAUCACAAUCUCAUGGGAGCUGGCCACCCCUAGUAUAGACAACUUAGGAAGAUGAAAAAUUGGAGAAGUAUUGAUAUGCAGUUGGAAAUAGAAUCAAAAGGACCCAUGGAUGGGAUGGAGGG